rnacentral:rRNA from 1 species
GGAUGAACGUUGGCGGCGUGCCUAAUACAUGCAAGUCGAACGAAGACUGUAGUAAUACUGUCUUAGUGGCGAACGGGUGAGUAACGCGUGGGUGACCUGCCCCGAAGUGUGGGAUAACAGUCCGAAAGGAUUGCUAAUACUGCAUAAUAUCCAAGAGAUUAGACGCUUUUGGAUUAAAGGAGUAAUUCGCUUCGGGAGGGGCCCGCGUCCCAUCAGCUAGUUGGUAAGGUAAUGGCUUACCAAGGCGAUGACGGGUAGGGGACCUGAGAGGGUGGCCCCCCACAAUGGAACUGAAACACGGUCCAUACACCUACGGGUGGCAGCAGUAGGGAAUAUUAGUAAUGGGCGAAAGCCUGAACUAGCAACGCCGCGUGUGCGAAGAAGGCCUUCGGGUCGUAAAGCACUUUUUGAGAGGAUGAGGAAGGACGGUACUCUCAGAAUAAGUCUCGGCUAACUACGUGCCAGCAGCCGCGGUAACACGUAGGAGGCAAACGUUAUCCGGAUUUACUGGGCGUAAAGCGCGUGUAGGUGGUUUGGUAAGUAGGGCGUGAAAGCUCCUGGCUCAACUGGGAGAGGACGUUCUAAACUGCCAAGCUUGAGGAUGGUAGAGGGAGGUGGAAUUCCGGGUGUAGCGGUGGAAUGCGCAGAUAUCCGGAGGAACACCAGUGGCGAAGGCGGCCUCCUGGACCACUCCUGACACUCAGACGCGAAAGCUAGGGUAGCAAACGGGAUUAGAGACCCCGGUAGUCCUAGCCCUAAACGAUGUAGACUUGGCGUCGGUGGUUUAAUCGCCAUCGGUGUCGUAGCUAACGCGAUAAGUCUACCGCCUGGGGACUACGGCCGCAAGGUUAAAACUCAAAGGAAUUGACGGGUCCCCGCACAAGCAGCGGAGCGUGUGGUUUAAUUCGAUGCUACACGAAGAACCUUACCUGGGUUUGACAUAGAGGUAGUAGGGAAGCGAAAGCGGACCGACCCUUCGGGGAGCCUCUACAGGUGUUGCAUGGCUGUCGUCAGCUCGUGUCGUGAGAUGUUCGGUUAAGUCCCGCAACGAGCGCAACCCUUAUUGAUAGUUACUAACGCGUAAAGGUGAGGACUCUAUUGAGACUGCCGGGGACAACUCGGAGGAAGGUGGGGACGACGUCAAAUCAUCAUGCCCCUUAUGACCUGGGCUACACACGUGCUACAAUGGCCGACACAGAGAGGGGCAAAGGCGCGAGCCGGAGCGGAUCUCAAAAAAGCGGUCGAAGUUCGGAUUGUGGGCUGCAACCCGCCCACAUGAAGUCGGAGUUGCUAGUAAUCGCGGAUCAGCAUGCCGCGGUGAAUACGUUCCCGGGCCU